rnacentral:lncRNA from 1 species
AAAAAAUGCGAAGUUUCCUUAAAACUUUCAAUUCAGUGCGGGCAGCAAGUCGCUAACCCACUGUUUUAGUGGUCAACAAUGGGGUUUUCGAUUCGUCUGAAAAUUCCAGGGCUGAUAGAUCUUGACCAAUUAAACAAUUUUACCUCAUGUCAGAUUUGCUCUAGAGGCUUAAGGUUCUGAGAUAUAAGCCAAAAACUGCAUUCGACCCCUAUGUUCUACUUUUAGCCAUGGCCGCCAUGUUUGUCGAUGGAUCAAAACUUCGGAUACAAUUUAUAAACUAAUUCGAAUAAUUCAAUCCCUCUAUGUGCCCGAUUUUCUUCCACGCGAGUUAAUGUAGAUCAGCGGAAUAUAAUGACUAAAUUAUUCGGGUUAUUUAUA